rnacentral:rRNA from 1 species
AUGUUAUUCUUUAAGGCGAAUCAGGACCAAACCUCGAGAAUUAAGAAUGUACUAACGAGGUAUGAAAAGGCUACGGGUCAACUGUUAAGUCCUAGUAAAUGCUCUAUCAUGCUUGGCAAAUCCUGUAGUCAGGAGGAAGGAAAGAGAGUGGCACAGAUCUUGGGUGUUCGGAAAAUUGAUUUUGAAGAAAAGUAUCUAGGACUGCCGGUCCCUGAAGGAAGGAUGAAGAAUGGUAAAUUUCAGCCCAUUAAAGAGCAUUCAUUGAAGAGAUGUACGGAUUGGUGUGAGAGAUAUUUAUCCAGUGCGGCUAAGGAGAGCCUCAUAAAAUCGGCUAAGGAGUACCUAUGCCAUGAGUGUGUUCAAAUUUUCUGCAGGCCUGUGUGA